rnacentral:rRNA from 1 species
UACGGGGGGGGCAAGCGUUGUUCGGAAUUACUGGGCGUAAAGGGCUCGUAGGCGGCCAACUAAGUCAGACGUGAAAUCCCUCGGCUUAACCGGGGAACUGCGUCUGAUACUGGAUGGCUUGAGUGUGGGAGAGGGAUGCGGAAUUCCAGGUGUAGCGGUGAAAUGCGUAGAUAUCUGGAGGAACACCGGUGGCGAAGGCGGCAUCCUGGACCACGACUGACACUGAAACGCGAAAGCCAGGGGAGCAAACGGG